rnacentral:rRNA from 1 species
ACGGGGAGGAAGGAGGGGAAGACGUCAAGUCAGCACGGCCCUUAUGUCCUGGGCUACACACACACUACAAUGGCGAAAAACAAUGGGCUGCAAGCCGGCAACGGCAAGCUAAUCCCUGAAAUUUCGUCUCAGUUCAGAUUGUGGGCUGAAACCCGCCCGCAUGAAGUUGGAAUAGGUAGUAAUCGCGGAUCAGCAUGCCGCGGUGAAUACGUUCUCGGGUCUUGUACA